GUGCUCGCUUCGGCAGCACAUAUACUAAAAGUGGAACGAUACAGGGAAGAUUAGCACGGUCUCUGCGCAAGGAUGACACGCAAAUUUGUGAAGUGUUCCAUUAAAAA